rnacentral:rRNA from 1 species
AGAAAUUCCUUAGAAGUUGUAGGCUUUGCCUGCUUUCUCUUACCCAUGAUCUUUUGAGUACCUUUCCUUUCCUCGGUGGGUUCGCCCACCGAUUGGACAAACUUAAACCCUUUGCAGUUGAAAUCAGCGUCUGAAAAAACUUAAUAGUUACAACUUUCAACAACGGAUCUCUUGGUUCUGGCAUCGAUGAAGAACGCAGCGAAAUGCGAUAAGUAGUGUGAAUUGCAGAAUUCAGUGAAUCAUCGAAUCUUUGAACGCACAUUGCGCCCCUUGGUAUUCCAUGGGGCAUGCCUGUUCGAGCGUCAUUUGUACCUUCAAGCUCUGCUUGGUGUUGGGUGUUUGUCUCCUGUAGACUCGCCUUAAAACAAUUGGCAGCCGGCGUAUUGAUUUCGGAGCGCAGUACAUCUCGCGCUUUGCACUCAUAACGACGACGUCCAAAAGUACAUUUUUACACUCUUGACCUCGGAUCAGGUAGGGAUACCCGCUGAACUUAAGCAUAUCAAUUAAGCGGAGGAAAA